rnacentral:rRNA from 1 species
AUGCCAGCACUCGAUUUGUCCCACCUUGAUGGCAUCUUCUCCAUGGAGGAACUCAAGGCUACGAUUUUUGAUUUGCAUUCCGAGAAGGCGCCUGGGCCAGAUGGAUUUAUUGGUGGUUUUUUUAGGCAGUGUUGGGAUAUAAUUAGCCAUGAUUUGCUUAAUGCACUAAACCAGCUCCAUAGUUUGAGGGGAGCCAACUGGAACCUGCUGAACGCUGCCCAUAUCGUGCUACUGCCCAAGAAGGAUGGGGCUGAGCAUGCGUCUGAUUUCAGACCCGUCAGCUUAAUGCACAGUGUUGCAAAGAUUGCUUGA